rnacentral:rRNA from 1 species
CCUUAGAGUUUGAUCCUGGCUCAGGAUGAACGCUAGCUACAGGCUUAACACAUGCAAGUCGAGGGGCAGCAUAGAAGUUAGCUUGCUAACUUCGGAUGGCGACCGGCGGAUGGGUGAGUAACACGUAUCCAACCUGGCCUUUACAAUGGGAUAGGCUUUCGAAAGAAAGAUUAAUACUGUAUGUUCCGUGAUCUCCGCAUGGAGAUUCCGGCAAAGAUUUAUCGGUAAAGGAUGGGGAUGCGUUCCAUUAGGCAGUAGGCGGGGUAACGGCCCACCUAACCGACGAUGGAUAGGGGUUCUGAGAGGAAGGUCCCCCACAUUGGAACUGAGACACGGUCCAAACUCCUACGGGAGGCAGCAGUGAGGAAUAUUGGUCAAUGGGCGCGAGCCUGAACCAGCCAAGUAGCGUGCAGGAAGACGGCCCUAUGGGUUGUAAACUGCUUUUGAAGGGGAAUAACAGAAUCUACGUGUAGAUUUUUGCAUGUACCUUUCGAAUAAGGAUCGGCUAACUCCGUGCCAGCAGCCGCGGUAAUACGGAGGAUCCGAGCGUUAUCCGGAUUUAUUGGGUUUAAAGGGUGCGUAGGCUGGUUUUUAAGUCAGCUGUGAAAUACCGACGCUUACCGUCGGCACUGCAGUUGAAACUGGGAGCCUUGAGAGUGCAAGAGGCAUGCGGAAUUCAUGGUGUAGCGGUGAAAUGCAUAGAUAUCAUGAAGAACCCCGAUUGCGAAAGCAGCAUGCUGGGGCAUAUCUGACGCUGAGUCACGAAAGUGCGGGUAUCAAACAGGAUUAGAUACCCUGGUAGUCCGCACAGUAAACGAUGAAUACCAGCUGUUGGCGAUAGACAGUCAGCGGCGUAAGCGAAAGCGUUAAGUAUUCCACCUGGGGAGUACGCCGGCAACGGUGAAACUCAAAGGAAUUGACGGGGGCCCGCACAAGCGGAGGAACAUGUGGUUUAAUUCGAUGAUACGCGAGGAACCUUACCCGGGCUUGAAUUGCCACCGAAUAAUCGAGAGAUCGAUUAGCCGUAAGGCGGUUGUGAAGGUGCUGCAUGGUUGUCGUCAGCUCGUGCCGUGAGGUGUCGGCUUAAGUGCCAUAACGAGCGCAACCCUUAUCUUCAGUUACCAGCGCGUAAUGGCGGGGACUCUGGAGAGACUGCCGUCGUAAGAUGUGAGGAAGGUGGGGAUGACGUCAAAUCAGCACGGCCCUUACGUCCGGGGCUACACACGUGUUACAAUGGGGGGUACAGCAGGCAGCGGCCGUGUGAACGGUAGCUAAUCCGCAAAGCCUCUCUCAGUUCGGACUGGAGUCUGCAACCCGACUCCACGAAGCUGGAUUCGCUAGUAAUCGCGCAUCAGCCAUGGCGCGGUGAAUACGUUCCCGGGCCUUGCACUCGCCGCCCGUCAAG